rnacentral:rRNA from 1 species
CAAGUCGAACGCGAAAGUCCCCUUCGGGGGACAAGUAGAGUGGCGCACGGGUGAGUAACACGUAGGUAAUCUACCUUCGGAUGGGGAAUAACAACCGGAAACGGUUGCUAAUACCGCAUAAUGCAGCGGCACCUAAUGGUGACAGUUGUUAAAGCGGGGGAUCGAAAGACCUCGCGUCUGAAGAGGAGCCUGCGGCGGAUUAGCUAGUUGGUAGGGUAACGGCCUACCAAGGCUUCGAUCCGUAGCCGGCCUGAGAGGGCGGUCGGCCACACUGACACUGACAUACGGGUCAGACUCCUACGGGAGGCAGUAGUCGGGAAUUUUGGGCAAUGGGCGAAAGCCUGACCCAGCAACGCCGCGUGAAGGAUGAAAUCCCUCGGGAUGUAAACUUCGCAAGAACGGGAAGAAUAAGUAGGGGACAAUACCCCCUAUGAUGACGGUACCGUUUGUAAGCUCCGGCUAACUCCGUGCCAGCAGCCGCGGUAAUACGGGGGGAGCAAGCGUUGUUCGGAUUUACUGGGCGUAAAGGGCGCGUAGGCGGCCUCCGCAAGUCAAUUGUGAAAUCUCCGGGCUUAACUCGGAAAGGUCAACUGAUACUGCGGGGCUAGAGUGCGGAAGGGGCAACUGGAAUUCUUGGUGUAGCGGUGAAAUGUGUAGAUAUCAAGAGGAACACCUGCGGCGAAGGCGGGUUGCUGGGCCGACACUGACGCUGAGGCGCGAAAGCUAGGGGAGCGAACGGGAUUAGAUACCCCGGUAGUCCUAGCCUUAAACGAUGAAUGCUUGGUGUCUGGGGUUAUAUAGUCCCC